UACGGAGGAUGCAAGCGUUAUCCGGAAUGAUUGGGCGUAAAGGCUCCGCAGGUGGAAUUUCAAGUCUGCUGUCAAAGCGUGAAGCUUAACUUCAUAAAGGCAGUGGAAACUGAGAAUCUAGAGUACGUUCGGGGCAGAGGGAAUUACCAGUGUAGCGGUGAAAUGCGUAGAGAUUGGGAAGAACACCAGUGGCGAAAGCGCUCUGCUAGGCCUGUACUGACACUGAGGGACGAAAGCUAGGGGAGCGAAUUGG
rnacentral:rRNA from 1 species